rnacentral:rRNA from 1 species
GACGAACGCUGGCGGCGCGCCUAACACAUGCAAGUCGAACGAGCGAGAGAGAGCUUGCUUUCUCAAGCGAGUGGCGAACGGGUGAGUAACGCGUGAGGAACCUGCCUCAAAGAGGGGGACAACAGUUGGAAACGACUGCUAAUACCGCAUAAGCCCACGACCCGGCAUCGGGUUGAGGGAAAAGGAGCAAUCCGCUUUGAGGUGGCCUCGCGUCCGAUUAGCUGGUUGGUGAGGUAACGGCCCACCAAGGCAACGAUCGGUAGCCGGACUGAGAGGUUGAACGGCCACAUUGGGACUGAGACACGGCCCAGACUCCUACGGGAGGCAGCAGUGGGGAAUAUUGCACAAUGGGGGAAACCCUGAUGCAGCGACGCCGCGUGGAGGAAGAAGGUCUUCGGAUUGUAAACUCCUGUUGUUGAGGAAGAUAAUGACGGUACUCAACAAGGAAGUGACGGCUAACUACGUGCCAGCAGCCGCGGUAAAACGUAGGUCACAAGCGUUGUCCGGAAUUACUGGGUGUAAAGGGAGCGCAGGCGGGAAGACAAGUUGGAAGUGAAAUCUAUGGGCUCAACCCAUAAACUGCUUUCAAAACUGUUUUUCUUGAGUAGUGCAGAGGUAGGCGGAAUUCCCGGUGUAGCGGUGGAAUGCGUAGAUAUCGGGAGGAACACCAGUGGCGAAGGCGGCCUACUGGGCACCAACUGACGCUGAGGCUCGAAAGUGUGGGUAGCAAACAGG